rnacentral:rRNA from 1 species
ACUCAAAUGAAUAGACGGGGACCCGCACAAGCGGUGGAGCAUGUGGUUUAAUUCGAAGCUACGCGAAGAACCUUACCAAGGUUUGACAUCCCGCGAAUCUGCUGGAAACAGCGGAGUGCCGUAAGGAGCGCGGUGACAGGUGCUGCAUGGCCGUCGUCAGCUCGUGUCGUGAGAUGUUGGGUUAAGUCCCGCAACGAGCGCAACCCUUAUCGUCUGUUGUAUUUUUCAGGCGAGACUGCCCGGGGCAACCGGGAGGAAGGUGGGGAUGAUGUCAGGUCAGCAUGGCCCUUACACCUUGGGCUACACACGUGCUACAAUGGCCGGUACAAUGAGCUGCCAACCCGUGAGGGGGAGCUAAUCUCAUCAAAACCGGUCCCAGUUCGGAUAGAAGGCUGCAACUCGCCUUCUUGAAGUUGGAAUCGCUAGUAAACGUGGGUCAGCAUACCACGUUGAAUACGUUCCCGGGUCUUGCACACACCGCCCGU